rfam:Chloroflexi bacterium OLB15 TZ15_CFX003CONTIG000114, whole genome shotgun sequence.
GUUGGUGGCUUGAGCGGUGAGGGUCCACCCGGCUCCAUCUCGAACCCGGUCGUUAAGCUCACCAGCGCGGAUGGUACUGCACGGGUAACUGUGUGGGAGAGUACGCCGCUGCCAACA